AUUGAACGCUGGCGGCAGGCCUAACACAUGCAAGUCGAACGAGUGGCGGACGGGUGAGUAAUGUCUGGGAAACUGCCUGAUGGAGGGGGAUAACUACUGGAAACGGUAGCUAAUACCGCAUACCAUCAGAUGUGCCCAGAUGGGAUUAGUUAGUUGGUGGGGUAACGGCUCACCAAGGCGACGACCCCUAGCGGAUCUGAGAGGAUGACCAGCCACACUGGAACUGAGACACGGACCGGACUCGUAGGGGGGGAGGCGGUGGGGAAUAUUGCAAAAUGAGGGCAAGCCUGAUGAGGCCAUGCCGCGUGGAUGAAGAAGGCCUUCGAGUUGUAAAGUACGUUCAGAGGGGAGGCGUUACCCGCAGAAAAAGCAACGGCUAACUACGUGCCAGCAGCCGCGGUAAUAC
rnacentral:rRNA from 1 species